rnacentral:lncRNA from 1 species
GGUUGCGAAGGAAAAAAUUGAAAUCCCUAAUUCCCAACUUCAUCUCCUUUCUAAUUCCGUCUCCGGUGGUGGUGGUUCGAGGUGAUGCGGUUCAGGGACUCUUAAGCGCCAAAAAGGGAUUCUAAAAAACCCUAACCUUCUUCUGCAGUGUCGGUGAGGCACAACGUAUGGAUCAUGGCUCCAAAAUUUGGGUUCCUAUUUUCGUAAUGGUCGCCGGAGCAAGGUAAUGACCCAUCUACUCUCACUUCUCUAUUUGCUUACUUAUUCUAUUAGUUAGAAAUGUUCUCUGAACUCGUUGUAGUACCUGCUCUGAGUCGUUGUAAUGCCUUAUGUGUUAAGGCGGUUGGAA